rfam:Schistosoma rodhaini strain Burundi genome assembly, scaffold: SROB_scaffold0005133
CAAACGGCCCUUUUCAGGGCCACACAACUUGAUUUUGUGUCCUUUU